GAAUGUUUGCACGUCCCACCCGCGCUUUGCCCAGCUCCUCACUGUCCUUGGACUUCCCUGGAGAACGUAGAACUGAUGUGCACUGUUGGCUCCUGUUGUGCUGCACAGGCCUCCGUACAAACGGAACUCAAGGGUUAGUCUUUGUGACUCGUGAGGUGACUACACUAACACCUGGUGUUGAUAAGAUGGCAUGAAAACAGCCAGCUCUGGAAGUCGUGCGGAGUGAUGGCUCAGAAGUGAAUAGUGCUUGCUGCUCUUUCCAAGGACCCGAGAUGGGUUACCAGCACCCAUGUUCUCCAGAUCACAGUCUUCGCUAACUCCAGCUCCAGGGCUUCUAACCCCCUCUUCUGGCCUCCAUGGUACCUUUACUCAUGUGCCUGACAUCCUCCCACACAUACUUAAUGAAAAAUUAGAAUUAAAUCUUUAAUAA
rnacentral:lncRNA from 1 species